AUUGAACGCUGGCGGCAGGCCUAAGACAUGCAAGUCGAGCGGAGCGGCGGACCGGUGAGUAAUGCCUAGGAAUCUGACUGUUCGGGGGGGAUAACGUCCGGAAACGGGGGCUAAUACCGCGUACUAUCAGCUGAGCCGAGGUCGGAUUAGCUAGUUGGUGGGGUAAAGGCCUACCAAGGCGACGAUCCGUAACUGGUCUGAGAGGAUGAUCAGUCACACCGGAACUGAGACACGGUCCAGACUUCUACGGGAGGCAGCAGUGGGGAAUAUUGGACAAUGGGCGAAAGCCUGAUCCAUCCAUGCCGCGUGUGUGAAGAAGGUCUUCGGAUUGUAAAGCACUUUAAGUUGGGAGGCGUUACCAACAGAAUAAGCACCGGCUAACUUCGUGCCAGCAGCCGCGGUAAUAC
rnacentral:rRNA from 1 species